rnacentral:rRNA from 1 species
UACGAAGGGGGCUAGCGUUGUUCGGAAUCACUGGGCGUAAAGCGCACGUAGGCGGAUCGUUAAGUCGGGGGUGAAAUCCCGAGGCUCAACCCCGGAACUGCCUUCGAUACUGGCGAUCUUCGAGUCCGGGAGAGGUGAGUGGAACUCCGAGUGUAGAGGUGAAAUUCGUAGAUAUUCGGAAGAACACCAGUGGCGAAGGCGGCUCACUGGCCCGGUACUGACGCUGAGGUGCGAAAGCGUGGGGAGCAAACAGGAUUAGAAACCCCCGUAGUCC